CGACGCUCUUCCGAUCUUCAGAACGUACGCUGGCGGCACGCCUAACACAUGCAAGUCGAACGAAGUAGCAAUACUUAGUGGCAGACGGGUGAGUAACAUGUAGGUAUCUGCCCUUUGGCCUGGAAUAACACGAGGAAACUUGUGCUAAUACCGGAUAAGUCUUUACGGAGAAAGCUUUAUGCACCAUUGGAUGAGCCUGCACUUGAUUAGUUUGUUGGUGGGGUAAUGGCCUACCAAGACUGUGAUCAAUAGCUGAUUUGAGAGGAUGAUCAGCCACAUUGGGACUGAGACACGGCCCAAACUCCUACGGGAGGCAGCAGUGGGGAAUCUUGCACAAUGGAGGAAACUCUGAUGCAGCGAUGCCGCGUGAGUGAAGAAGGCCUUUGGGUUGUAAAGCUCUUUCGUCGGGGAAGAAAAUGACUGUACCCGAAUAAGAAGGUCCGGCUAACUUCGUGCCAGCAGCCGCGGUAAUACGAAGGGACCUAGCGUAGUUCGGAAUUACUGGGCUUAAAGAGUUCGUAGGUGGUUGAAAAAGUUGGUGGUGAAAUCCCAGAGCUUAACUCUGGAACUGCCAUCAAAACUUUUCAGCUAGAGUAUGAUAGAGGAAAGCAGAAUUUCUAGUGUAGAGGUGAAAUUCGUAGAUAUUAGAAAGAAUACCAAUUGCGAAGGCAGCUUUCUGGAUCAUUACUGACACUGAGGAACGAAAGCAUGGGUAGCGAAGAGGAUUAGAUACCCUCGUAGUCCAUGCCGUAAACGAUGUGUGUUAGACGUUGGAAAUUUAUUUUCAGUGUCGCAGGGAAACCGAUAAACACACCGCCUGGGGAGUACGACCGCAAGGUUAAAACUCAAAUGAAUUGACGGGGACCCGCACAAGUAGUGGAGCAUGUGGUUUAAUUCGAAGAUACGCGCAGAACCUUACCAACACUUGACAUGUUCGUCGCGACUCUAAGAGAUUAGAGUUUUCGGUUCGGCCGGACGAAACACAGGUGCUGCAUGGCUGUCGUCAGCUCGUGUCGUGAGAUGUUGGGUUAAGUCCCGCAACGAGCGCAACCCUCACUUUUAGUUGCCAUCAUUAAGUUGGGCACUCUGAAAGAACUGCCAGUGAUAAGCUGGAGGAAGGUGGGGAUGACGUCAAGUCCUCAUGGCCCUUACGUGUUGGGCUACACACGUGCUACAAUGGCAUCUACAACAGGAAGCAAAACGGCAACGUUAAGCAAAUCCCGAAAAGAUGCCUCAGUUCGGAUUGCACUCUGCAACUCGAGUGCAUGAAGCUGGAAUUACUAGUAAUCGUGGAUCAGCGUGCCACGGUGAAUGCGUUCCCGGGUCUUGUACACACCGCCCGUCACACCAUGGGAGUUGGUUCUACCUUAAGGCAAGGUUUUAAACCCUUGACCACGGUAUAGUCAGCGACUGGGGUGAAGUCGUAACAAGGUAG
rnacentral:rRNA from 1 species